CAGUAAGGAACAGAAUACCGGACACAAUAAAUAACAGUUUGUGUAAUACAUGUCAAUCAGUGACACUAUAUUUUACUAUCCACGUAUUGUUGAAUUAUAUUGGAGAUGCAAAUUCCUACAAAACGGUAGCAAUAUAUCACCACCUUCUAUCAAAUGGUUAGCUACUCUCUUAGGACAGCACACUUACAUUUAUGCAUCUCACCAUACAUUACUUUUUCUGAACACUUUGACAUACAGUUAUACGGACUAGUAUUGAUGAGAGCCACCAAUAUUUGUUUUUCUUUGCAAAGUGUCAGACUGAUUAUGAAAAAAAAGUAAAAAACAAAUUUUACAACCGUAACCGGUGCCCUGUUGGCCAAUCCGGCUGAAUCGGGUACAUAUUUCACCAUAAUGGCACUUUCUCGGAUGCGGAAGCAAUCUAAAUACAACGCUGCCUUGACCUGGAAAAAAGUAGAAUCGAAGGUUCCAGGUCGCACAAAUUUGAAUAAACAUCUCGUUCCCUGCUGCCGCUCGAGGAAGACGCCAAACAAUUCCGGCCGAAGUAUGCGGAAUCGAUCCAGAGGAACUGGCAAUACAGCUCCGAGUAGGGAUCCAUGAAUGAGGUAACGGGUGAAGUGCAUAUCAGUACCGCAAAUUGAAAAACUGAUCGGAUCAAGAUGCAUCAGCCUGUCCAUACAUCUGGAUUCAUCAGCAACGGUUGGUUCUUGCGGAAGUCGGAGGUGCUUUUAAAUAUCACUAGAUUUAUUUUUAAUGACUGCAUUGCCGUGUGCAGCAUAGUUGUCCCAUGUUAAUAGGGAACAUGUGACUGCUAUGCUGCACACGGUAAUGCUAUAAGGUAAAAUAUCCAUCCAGUACAACACGCAUUAAUGGGAAGGGAGGGGUUCCACAUUUUACAGCUAUUGUACUUGCUUUAUGAAAUAUAUUUUUUCUAGGCGUA